CUCUUUAAAAAGGUGUGUUUCCAUCAUUAAGGUGUUCACUUAACGUAUGCUUUUAUUUUGACGAUCCCUGGUGGAAGCGGUGGGAUCCUCGCGUCUGUGAGUUUAUUUAUUUUUGUGUGUGUCAGUUUGGAGCCGACGGCACAAGGCAGACGGUGUGGUCAUGCACGGUAACUGCACUACCGAAAGGUUUAUUUUACAUGUUUUAAGCGCCUGGCUGGAGAUGGGAACAAGCUGCAAAGGCAAAGGGACUGCAGCUGCACUGAUGCAGGAUGUCCAGCAGAGGGCGCUGCCGGUCAGAGCUGAGAGAAACAGGAUCUCGUGGAGGAAUGGAGCUGCGUCCCUCCAGGAGAGCGCCUGUGACGCAUUGCAUGCUGGGAUUUUACAAAAACUUGUAACCAGCAACAGAUGAAGAGGAAAACAAAAUGAACUUUAUUUUUUACAAAAGAAACUGCCAUAAGUUCACCAAACCUGUGAGAGUCUGGAGGCCUGGCCCAGCAGAGCACAGGGACGGGAAAGUCUGGGCCCGUGGAUCCUGAGGGGGCUUCUCACACACAGACACACACACACACACACACACACACACACACACAGAGAGAGAGUCUCAAAAUUUCUAAAAAAAAAACCCAAAAAAACCCAUUAAA